rnacentral:rRNA from 1 species
UGGGGAAUAUUGGACAAUGGGCGCAAGCCUGAUCCAGCCAUGCCGCGUGAGUGAUGAAGGCCUUAGGGUUGUAAUGCUCUUUUAGCAGGGAAGAUAAUGACGGUACCUGCAGAAUAAGCCCCGGCUAACUUCGUGCCAGCAGCCGCGGUAAUACGAAGGGGGCUAGCGUUGUUCGGAAUUACUGGGCGUAAAGCGCACGUAGGCGGAUUGACAAGUCAGGGGUGAAAUCCCGGGGCUCAACCUCGGAACUGCCUUUGAUACUGUUAGUCUAGAGUCCGGAAGAGGUGGGUGGAAUUCCUAGUGUAGAGGUGAAAUUCGCAGAUAUUAGGAAGAACACCGGUGGCGAAGGCGGCCCACUGGUCCGGAACUGACGCUGAGGUGCGAAAGCGUGGGGAGCAAA